UUCUUGUAAAUUUCCGACAGAUUUAUAUUUUCGUCGGAAAUUUUCCGUUGGAAAUUUCUGACAGAAAUAUAAAUCCGUCGGAAAUUUCCAAC
rnacentral:pre_miRNA from 1 species